AGAGGCUUUUCCAGGGGCUGGAGGUGGUGAGCCAGGCCUAUGGAGAGAGAGAGCAUACUGCUCCGAUGCAGACGAGCAGUACAAGAUGGACAGAGUUCAUUUCCCAGGGAUGCUGAACCCUGCACAAGGUGAAAGGGAGAAACAUCCAGAGCAUGCCAGUCUCCUUGUGAAAGAACAGAACAGCAUGAAAAUGGAAAGAGAAGACCUCCAAUAGGAGGUUGCAAAGACCAGGUGGAGAAAAUGGCGCCUCGAAUGGGUUUCCAUAGCAAGAUGUCUUGACUGACUAGAAGGGGCGGGGCAGAGCGGGCACACCUUCACCUAUCUGGAACAAAGAGUCCAAUGUAAGGAAGUGUGGGGCCUGCUUGCAUAAACGAUCGGACACCUUUGCUCCAGUAGAAGCAGUAGGGAAGAAGGGAGAAAAAUGGUUGUGCUUUCUGAGGCGUCCAUGCAGCAUCCGGGUUCUUUUGGCAGGAAGUGAAGAGGAGGAAAUGGAGUAGACGGUGGAAGGUGUGUUUUUUCUCACCCUCUUGGCAGAUGAAGAUGUGAAUCAAGUUUUAGAAAGGGGAAAACCAACAUGGAGGGUGAUUCUGAUAAAGGGAACAAAAGAAGGCUGUGCACAAAGGAGGUUCAGCAGCGGAAGCCCUUAGAGCAGAGACCCAGACACAAUGGAAAAAGGAGACUUAAGUGUUCCACGGGCUUCCUGGAAGCUCCGUGGAAACGUUGUAAAGGGCGGAGAAGUCAAAGACUACCUUCCACCUGGGUUGUAGACACUGGGAAUUACAGAGGAGAGUCAGGGAGGGGCUGGCGCAGAGGUAGAGUCUUUCUUUGAUUUCAGACAUGGCAGAUUUGAAAGGAAGGUGGGCGGGUUGAGGGAGAUCUUUUACAACCAGUCUCUGGCAAGGAAAGGUCUGGAGUUUAGGAGAAGGGUAGAAAGUAAAAAUUCAAAUUGUCCAUCAGCUUUACUAAGGUUUGAAAUGUGUGAGUCAGAUAAAAUUUCUCCAGUGGAAGGAGAUGUAGUCAAGGGGAGAAGAGCUGGAGAGAGCAGAGCAGGCUCCAGAGCCAGAAAUGGGAGCAGCCCUUGUGUGUGCAUCAUGGCUGCGUAGCCCCACACUGGGGACUGGGGUCAGGUGAUGUUUUGCUAUGGUGACUGUCCUAUGCGAGGCAGGAUAUUAUACAGCUUGCCCCCUUAAUAGUAAUUAAUAAUACCAACGUCCUCAGAGUUUAUCCAAAUAACCCUCUGAUACAAAAUUACCGCCAGUUGCAGAAGCUGAGAGUCUUUACAUAGACUUUAAAAAGAAAAAGGGGGGGGGCUUAGUUUAAAGGUAAAUUCCAACUGGGAAAGACAGAGCUCAGUACUCGAUCCUGAUUAUCCCCCUGCCCUGUGUUCUUAUUCUCCUAGAGUGGCUGAGCAGAGACAGUUGGAUGCCCAGAGCUGAGGGCAGAGGCUUUGCUGUACACCAGCAGCAAGUUGGAAAGGGCCCCACAGAGAAGCCAAGCAUCGCAAAAGGUAACUAACUGAAUGGCCUGGCCAAAGGAUUUGGGGAGCCCAGGAUGGUAAGAGCUGGAGGUGAUCAGUGUGCAGGUUGACUGGGAGUCACCGUGGGUUGCACUUAGUGCCUGUUCAAGUUGGUGACCUUGCUGGCUUAACACAUGACACGGAUGGGAAGGAGCCAUUGCUGUUGGCUGUUGGCUGUUGGUGAGCACUUGGGUUGAGGCCUCACCCUACUAGGAGUGAGGUUUCUAAUGGUCUCACGUUAUAACUCUACAGCAGGAAAAGCUCUUUCCCCCCCUCCCUGCUUAUUCGUGUGCGGGCUUGGGUGAGUGUGUGCGUGCAUGCUGAAAGCGUGUGUGUGUGUGUGUGUGUGUGUGUGUGUGUCAGAAGACACGUGAGGGCCAGAAGACAGCCCGUCGGAGCUCAUUCUCCGAGUCCAUGAAUUAAGCACCUUUGUUCACCCAUAUCACCAGCUCCCUAGCAAAAGAUAAGAGAUGUUGUCCCUAUUCCUGAUGACUUCCUCGUGAUGGUUGUGGUGGGGGAGGAGGGAAGAUGCUGAGAACCCUGGGCAAAACGAGGCCUGCGCGAAUAAGCUCCGAGUCGCAAAGCUGUGGGUGGGGAAGGAGUGAGUGCCAAAGAAAGAGUAAUAGGCACGAAGGGCCAAAGCUAAGCUUGAGGUCUUGACCCAUCCUCCACACGGUAAUGUGCUAGAGUGACAGGCUGUAAGGGAAGAUGGUGCCUCGGUUGGACAAUGGGGUUUUCUGUAUUAGAAAGGAAUGGUAAGAACUAUUCCUGUUUCCGCUGGGCUGUGCUUCUCUGAGGAGAGUCAAUUUGCUCACUGCAGUUGGCCCAGAUGCCCAAGUGAGAAAUAUCAGGGUGACCUUUGACAGUCACGCCAACCAGAAGGAAGCCUCAUUACUGAAAAAGGCGUGGUUCCACUUUUCUGUGAUACCCUGGGCUGGGUGCUUGUUAACAGUCAACAAUUGUGUUUAUACUUACAUUUUAGGGUUGCUUUUUUGUUUGUUUGUUUUUGAUUUGUUUUUUUUGGGAGGGUUGGAGGGGAGGUUGUUUUCUGUCAAAAGCCCAAGGCCCAAUCACAUAUCUCAAGUAGCAUCUUCUUAACUGUUUUGAUUUAUCUCUGUAGCCACAAAAGAGAAAGCCAAGUAGGAUAAGGUCUCUUAGGAAGAAGAGAGGGUGGAGUGAGCAAGAUGGUGGCGGCGGGGGUGGGGUGAGGGUGGGGGCACAGAGGCUAGGAAUAGCAAGACAAUUGGCAGGAAGGUUCCUUUUGGCUUGUAGCUUUGGGGAUGGGGCAGCCUAAUGGGGAGCCUUCUCUGCAUGUGGUCCAUGUGUACCAUUAAUUUCCAGGCAAAGGAAACAGGUGCAGGGAAAGAGAAGCUAGGAAAAGAAUUCAGGCAAUCACUGAGUUGCUCAGCCUCCCAGUGACAAAGGUUUCCUGAGUGUUUCCCUGAGUAGCAAUAAGACUUUGAAGCUGCUCAAUUAAUUACUGUUCAAUUAAGACUGCUGCAGCCGGUCCCCUCCCCCCUCCCCACCAUCCUCUCUGCCAGCCUUGGCCUGUGGAGGCAGCAGCAGCAGCAGCAGCAGCAGCAGCUUCCUGCUCUCUGCAGAAGGGACUGUUGUGUGGCUGGCCUGCUUUAGGCAAAUGCUAAUUAAAGGGAAGAUCUCCCUAACAGAGAGGGCAAGAUAUUGGAUUAGGGGCUGAUGUGGGGCACAUGUUAGGGGGAUGAAAUGAUAUUCGUGAAUACAGCUGGUUAACUCUGGAUGAAAACCCCGGGACAUGGGGUCGGUUGGGCCCCUCCCGCAGGCUUAGCAGUGGCUUGGUCUCAAUGGCUUUCUUUGAGGAAGGUUCACCAAAUUGUGCCUUUAACAAGAGCCAUGCUCCUGCCACCUGCGCCUGCACAAGGUGUCCAUAUUUUGCUCUGGUUUCUUUGUGUAGCACAGCUGAGAAUAUAGCUGAGGCCACUGAGGGAGAUGUACCUGUUCCAGAUGAGAGAAACAACCAGGGGAAGGUGUCUACCAGAGGGGUAGGGGGUGAGGCCAGGGUAGGGGGUAGGGGGUGGGGGGUGGGUGGGCGGGGCUGGGGUGGAAGGAGUGGGAGCUUGGAUUCAGGAAAGCAGUUGGGUUUCAACAGAAAGGCUAUGUAGGAUUUCUGUGACUAAUGGUGGAAAUUCUAGGCACCCAGGGGGCUUCAGGGCCUGAAUGCUGUUUGAAUUUAAAGGGGGUUGUGUCGCUCACCUCUUCACACAACCUCAAUUAUCCAAAGCAAAUGUCCCUAAUGAAGUCUGAUUGAAACAGAUGCUUAAGCCAGGACAGUCAGCCGGGCCUUGCCUGGGGGAGGGAGAAACCUGUGGACUCUAGGUCUGCAUUCCUGCUCCUCUCACUUUGGUUAAUGAAUUUGAGGUGUUCUUAUCAGAACUCCGUUCCGUAGAGGUGAAAUUGAGAUUCCCAGCUAGGUCUGUAAGACCGCAGGGGCAGUGACUUCAAGGGUGACUGAUCUGAAAUCCUCAUUAGUCUUUGGCUAUUGAAAAGACUCUUCCUAACAUUGAGGCGAUGUCCUGCCUGGUCUCUGAAGCUUGCUGUGUUUGGUUGUGUCCUCAACUGUUUUAUUUCCCUAUCUCUUCAAAGUCCUUUUGAGUCCCUGUAACAUGUGUUGGCUUUUUGCCUCCCCCUUUCCCCCCAAGCUCUACCCUUGUGCAGAGUCUCUGCCUGGAGAGCAGAACGAUGCAGCUUAUCCUUGUUCUCCCUGUAACCAACCUCACAGCCCUUUUUUGCCUUCCUCACCUUGGGGCAGCUGUAUCCCCUUGCUUAUGUGUAACUUGCUCGUCUAAGAUAACCCAUAGGAAAACCACACAGGAGUGCCACAUUGGAGGCUGGGGAACAACGCGCCCUGCUCCCCAGCUCUCCUGGGGUGUCCUGCUUCUGCUGGCUGAGCACUAUCAAUGAGUGACAUCACUCUGCACUGCAGACUCCUGCACUGUGGACUCUGAUGCCCCCCCCCCCCCCAUGCCAAUACUCCUGCUUCCUGGCUGGGGAUGGGACUCCCUGUCAAGGAGACUUUGGGAAAAUAAAUACUAGUAAAACUUGACCAAAUUCUUAAAUGCCCCAAAAGAGUUAAGACAUGAAAUAAAUGGUCAAUAAAAAGUCACUUAAUUUACAGAACCAAUUAUGGGGAGAAGUGUUUGCUUUGUAUGCUCUAGGCAGUGGAGCCAAAUUUGGCAUGUGUAUUUGUGUCUGUGGGGUGAGUGUGGUAUGUGUCCAGUGUGUGGGUGAGCUUGUGUGUGCAUGAGUGUGUGUUUGUGUGUGUCUGGCAUGUAUAUGAGUGUGGUGUGCUUGUGUGUGUGUGUGUGUGUGUGUGUGUGUGUGUCUGGCAUGUAUAUGAGUGUGGUGUGCUUGUGUGUGUGCGUGUGUGUCUGGCAUGUAUAUGAGUGUGGUAUGCUUGUGUGUGUGUGUGUGUGUAUGAGUAUGGGCAUUUGUGUGUGUCUGGUGUGCCUAUGAGUGUGGGGAUGUUUGUGUGCAUCUAGUGUGUAUGUGUGUGUGUGUGUGGUGUGCCUAUGAGUGUGGGGAUGUUUGUGUGCAUCUAGUGUGUAUGUGUGUGUGUAUGUGUGUGUGGUGUGCCUAUGAGUGUGGGGAUGUUUGUGUGUGGUAUGUAUGAGUGUGGGUGUGUUUGUGUGUGUGUCUAAUGUGUACUAUAUGAGUGUGGUGCACGUGUGUGUGGGUGGAUGUGUUUGUAUCUGGUGUGUAUGAGUGGGUGUGUGCUUGUGUGUAUGAAUGUGGGUGUGGUAUGUUUGUGUGGAUGAGUGGUAUGUGGUAUGGUAUUUGUGUGUGGAUGAGUGUGUGCGUGUGUGUGGCCUCUGGGGUGUGAGCAUGAGUGUCUGUGGUGUGUGUGGAUGAGUAGGUGCAUGUGUCUGGUAUAUGUAUGCAUGAUUGUGGGGUGUGUUUGUGUGCUGUCUGUGGGAUGUAAGUAUGGAUGUCUGGUGUGUUUGUAUCAGUAUGUGCAUGUGUGUGAUAUGUGUAUGCAUGUUUGUGGUGUGUGUGUGUGUGUGUGUGUGUGUGCGCGCGCGCGCGCGUAUGAGGGUGAACUUAGCUAUUACCAGGUCUUGAAGCAUAUAAAAAAGAUUAUGUGAGCACUAAAACUGGAGACAGGCAGGGACCACUAGAGAAAUUGCUGGAGAAUAGCUCCUGAGAGGGGGGUGAUAAUGGGUAGGAGGUGAAACAUUUCUUGUAUCCCAACUAUCUAGAGUCUCUAAGCCAUUACUUAACCUGCACUGUCAGUUGGCUGCCCCCCUUACUUCAUAGCGAGCAUCUCUAAUGGGCUUGUACUAACUGGGUUCUGGAAGGUUCUUUCUAGAGACUAACCACAGGGAGUUGGGGGGGAUUGGAACAUUCGACAUUGUUAGGUGCUCUUCCCCCCUCACCCUCCCACCCUGACACAGUGAGUCAUACAUUCUCUACAAGCCCUCGUAGAGCGUUUGCCAGAGCUGAGAUCAGACAACACAACACACUUCUUCAGUCAGUGCUUUUUAUUUAGCCAAUGUUUGAGAUCCGAGAGCAACGCUAGAGCUCAAGGCGCGGCUCCACUUCUUAAACCAGAAAACCAUUUUGUUCUGCUAGUGCAUUUUAGAAGAAACUGAGGCAGAGGGGUGUGAGGGAAGACUGAGGCAGUCAACUGGGCUUAACCAGUAUCUUGUGCCUUUUGUCUCAUUCUGCUGCCCUGUCUGGGUGCGGGAGAGGUUAAUUAGUGCCAAAACCCCGAAACAGGGCAUUCCAUUCCUCAUGUGCAGCGUGGGAUGAAAGGUAUGGCUUGAGUCUCUCAUCUCGGUACUGAGUGGUACUUUAGAGGGCAAAUGAGAGUGACAUCGAUGGUCUCUGGCCCUGAACAAUUAAUUGAUUAUCAUGACUUGCUUUUGUGAUGGGCUGCUGUCCUGCUUGCCCCCACACCGUGGUCUCUGCUCAGUUUCCUCAUCCUCUUUUUCUUUUAGACCAUGACAAAAGGAGAAAUUAAGUAAAUCCAAAAAAAAAAAACCAAAAAAAAACAAAAAAAAAACCUUUAUUCUUACCAGUUCUGAUGUUUCAAGUUUCUUGUUAACAGAACACAGCUGCUAAAAUGUAGGCUAAAGAGUCAAAGGUUGUAAACAAUUCCAGAAGAUAAAAGGCUUCAGGCACAUAAAAAAAGCAAACAAACAAACAAGCAAACACUUAAAAAUCAAUUCUGGAGUUUACACACUCCCAUCUCAUUCUCCAAUUCUCACAAAUAUAGUUAAAGAGUUUUAUUGAUAAACUAAAAAAUACAUCUGGGUUUUGCCACCACACAGUAUUUGAACACUGCCACAA